rnacentral:rRNA from 1 species
GAUGAACGCUGGCGGCGUGCCUAAUACAUGCAAGUCGAGCGAACAGACGAGGAGCUUGCUCCUCUGACGUUAGCGGCGGACGGGUGAGUAACACGUGGAUAACCUACCUAUAAGACUGGGAUAACUUCGGGAAACCGGAGCUAAUACCGGAUAAUAUAUUGAACCGCAUGGUUCAAUAGUGAAAGACGGUUUUGCUGUCACUUAUAGAUGGAUCCGCGCUGCAUUAGCUAGUUGGUAAGGUAACGGCUUACCAAGGCGACGAUGCGUAGCCGACCUGAGAGGGUGGUCGGCCAAACUGGAACUGAGACACGGUCCAGACUCCUACGGGAGGCAGCAGUAGGGAAUCUUCCGCAAUGGGCGCAAGCCUGACGGAGCAACGCCGCGUGAGUGAUGAAGGUCUUCGGAUCGUAAAACUCUGUUAUUGGGGAAGAACAAAUGUGUAAGUAACUAUGCACGUCUUGACGGUACCUAAUCAGAAAGCCCCGGCUAACUACGUG